AAUAUAUAUAUGAUGAUAAUUCAUAACCCACAACUGAUUAAAGAUGCUGAAAUCUUUUAACAUGCAUCACCAUCUGAAAUAAACUU